rnacentral:lncRNA from 1 species
GCUUGUUAAUGGUUUGAUGUUGUACCUGACAUAUAGAAAGUGCUCAGUAAGUCUGCAUGGUGGUACAGUGCGAGGAUCCCUGGCUUUGGGGUCAGGAAGACCUUAGUUCCAGGCACAGAUUGUCCAUUAUGAACAGUAUGACAUCGUGCAAAUUCAUUGUCUCUUGAGAUUACCCAUCUGAAAAGUUGGAAAUGUCUUCCCAGACUACCUUAGGAAAUAGUUAUGGAAUUAUUCAAAUGAGUUUAUAAACUAAGAAAGGCAUUGUGAGAGGUGAGGGCUCCCUGCCAUUCUUAAGAGCAAAGCCACACACCUGAUUUAAAGUAAAACCAUCCUAAACCUUUUCUGAGUACCACCUAACCUUCUUCCUUCAGGUGUUGACUUUAACAGAAGUUCUCCCCACAAAGGUGGCAGUAAUAACUGGGCCCUAGUGGUGUUUUCUGCUCAUGAGACUUAAUGGGAAGAGGGGACUUACAUUUACUGGGACUGUUGUGUUUAGGGCCUUGUCCCAAAUGCCUGUGCACAUUACAUUGAAUCUUCUCAUGGUCAUUUCACUCCAGACCCCAAUAUCCCACUUUCUACUACCCAUCUAAAACUGAAUUCAUGCCAGGUGUGGUGGCACAUGCCUGAAAUCCCAGAGACUCAGGAGGAUGAGGUGAAGGAUCACAAGUUUGAAGAUUUAGCAAGACCCUUAGCAAUGGAGACUCUGUCUCAAAGAAUUUUUUAAAAUGGGCUGGAGAUGAAGUUCUGUGGUAAAGUGGCCCUGGUUCUGGUUGAAUCCCCAGUACCACAAAUAAUAAUACUAAUAAAAUUAAAAAUAAAACUGAACUCAUAGCCAGGCAUGGUGACACAUGCUUGUAAUCCUGAC